rnacentral:tRNA from 2 species
CAGAGGGUAGUUUAUGAAAAUAUUAGUUUUGGGGACUAAAGAUAGGGCAAUAGCUUUACCUCUGA